GUGUCCCGGAUGGCGCAGUGGUUAGCACUCUUGCUUAGUAAGCAGGAGGUCCCAGGUUCGAAUCCUGGUCUUAUACA